GCUCCAGUGGCGCAAUUGGUUAGCGCACGGUACUUAUAAGACAGUGACUAGUGAGCAAUGCCGGGGUUGUGAGUUCGAGCCUCACCUGGAGCA
rnacentral:tRNA from 1 species